rnacentral:lncRNA from 1 species
CCGUGUUCUUAGUGUCAUCCACGAUUAUCGAGGAUAAAAUUGAAGAAUCAAAAGGAAAAUCGAUGUUCGCACAGGAAGAGAGAGAAUCGAGAGACUAUGCUCAAAUAGGAAAAAGAAAUGACUGAUUGAAUUAGAAUCAAAAGCCAAGCUCUGAUACCAUAUCAAAAUAAUGAAGAAAAAAUAGAGAAGACUAGCUCACCUUGAAUGAGCUCUAAUGGCAGUUGAGGGGAACCAUAGGAGACGAAGCUUCUAGAAGAUUUCUGCUCAGUUUCAU